rnacentral:lncRNA from 7 species
UCCAUAGGAAAGCAGUGCGGAGGGAACGUGUGUGGUGAGAUGCUGAGGAGAGAUUGCCUUCCUUGCCCCAGCAGGCUGCUUGUGUCCUCGUGAUGCACGGUGACG